UAGGGAAUCUUCCACAAUGGACGCAAGUCUGAUGGAGCAACGCCGCGUGAGUGAAGAAGGUUUUCGGACCGUAAAGCUCUGUUGUUGGUGAAGAAGGAUAGAGGUAGUAACUGGCCUUUAUUUGACGGUAAUCAACCAGAAAGUCACGGCUAACUACGUGCCAGCAGCCGCGGUAAUACGUAGGUGGCAAGCGUUGUCCGGAUUUAUUGGGCGUAAAGCGAGCGCAGGCGGAAGAAUAAGUCUGAUGUGAAAGCCCUCGGCUUAACCGAGGAAUUGCAUCGGAAACUGUUUUCUUGAGUGCAGAAGAGGAGAGUAGAACUCCAUGUGUAGCGGUGGAAUGCGUAGAUAUAUGGAAGAAUACCAGUGGCGAAGGCGGCUCUCUGGUCUGCAACUGACGCUGAGGCUCGAAAGCAUGGGUAGCGAACAGGAUUAGAUACCCUUGGUAGUCCAUGCCGUAAACGAUGAGUGCUAAGUGUUGGGAGGCUUCCGCCUCUCAGUGCUGCAGCUAACGCAUUAAGCACUCCGCCUGGGGGAGUACGACCGCAAGGUUGAA
rnacentral:rRNA from 1 species